rnacentral:rRNA from 1 species
UACGAAGGGGGCUAGCGUUGUUCGGAAUUACUGGGCGUAAAGCGCACGUAGGCGGAUCGAUCAGUCAGGGGUGAAAUCCCAGGGCUCAACCCUGGAACUGCCUUUGAUACUGUCGAUCUGGAGUAUGGAAGAGGGUCGUGGAAUUCCCAGUGUAGAGGUGAAAUUCGUAGAUAUUGGGAAGAACACCGGGUGGCGAAGGCGGCGACCUGGUCCGAUACUGACGCUGAGGCGCGAAAGCGUGGGGAGCAAACAGG